rnacentral:rRNA from 1 species
AGUGAACGCUGGCGGUAGGCCUAACACAUGCAAGUCGAACGGCAGCACAGUAAGAGCUUGCUCUUACGGGUGGCGAGUGGCGGACGGGUGAGGAAUACAUCGGAAUCUACUUUUUCGUGGGGGAUAACGUAGGGAAACUUACGCUAAUACCGCAUACGACCUACGGGUGAAAGCAGGGGAUCUUCGGACCUUGCGCGAUUGAAUGAGCCGAUGUCGGAUUAGCUAGUUGGCGGGGUAAAGGCCCACCAAGGCGACGAUCCGUAGCUGGUCUGAGAGGAUGAUCAGCCACACUGGAACUGAGACACGGUCCAGACUCCUACGGGAGGCAGCAGUGGGGAAUAUUGGACAAUGGGCGCAAGCCUGAUCCAGCCAUACCGCGUGGGUGAAGAAGGCCUUCGGGUUGUAAAGCCCUUUUGUUGGGAAAGAAAAGCAGCAGGUUAAUACCCCGCUGUUCUGACGGUACCCAAAGAAUGAGCACCGGCUAACUUC